AAUAUAGAGAUGAAAUGGUAGAUAUUAAGAAGAGGACCAGUGGGAAGAGAGUGGGAGGACAAGUAAUGAGGUUGAAGUAAAGAAGAAGGGGAGCGAACAGGAUUAGAUAGCGUGGUAGUCCGCGCGGUAGGGGGAUGAUGACUAGCUGUCGCGGCGGUAGCGUUUGAGGGACGCAGGGAACGGGAUAAGUCAUCCGGCUGGGGAGGGCAGCCGCAAGGUUAAAACUCAAAGAAAUGGACGGGGGCCUGCACAAGCGGUGGAGCAUGUGGUUUAAUUGGAAUCAACGCGCAGAACCUUACCAGCGUUUGACAUUGUAGGACGGUUUCCAGAGAUGGAUUCCUUCCCUUACGGGACCUACACACAGGUGCUGCAUGGCUGUCGUCAGCUCGUGUCGUGAGAUGUUGGGUUAAGUCCCGCAACGAGCGCAACCCUCGUCUUUAGUUGCCAUCAUUUAGUUGGGCACUCUAAAGAAACUGCCGGUGAUAAGCCGGAGGAAGGUGGGGAUGACGUCAAGUCCUCAUGGCCCUUACGCGCUGGGCUACACACGUGCUACAAUGGCGGUGACAGUGGGCAGCAAACUCGCGAGAGUGAGCAAAUCCCCAAAAACCGUCUCAGUUCGGAUUGUUCUCUACAACUCGAGAGCAGGAAGGCGGAAUCGCUAGUAAUCGCGGAUCGGCAUGCCGCGGUGAAUACGUUCCCGGG
rnacentral:rRNA from 1 species